AUUCCUUUAGUAUAAAAAGUAUAUUUAACUUCCAAUUAAAAGGUUUAUCAUUUAAAAGGAAUA
rnacentral:tRNA from 1 species